rnacentral:rRNA from 1 species
UACGGAGGGUGCAAGCGUUAUCCGGAUUCACUGGGUUUAAAGGGUGCGUAGGUGGGAAUGUAAGUCAGUGGUGAAAUCUCCGUGCUUAACACGGAAACUGCCAUUGAUACUAUGUUUCUUGAAUUUUUCUGGAGGUUAGCGGAAUAUGUCAUGUAGCGGUGAAAUUGCUUAGAUAUGACAUAGAACACCAAUUGCGAAGGCAGCUAACUACAGGGAUAUUGACACUGAGGCACGAAAGCGUGGGGAUCAAACAGG